GCCCUCUCUGUCCCAUGACAUGAUCCCAGUGUUAGACUGAGCCUCCAAGGGCAUCCUCCAUCCCUUAGUAGCAUUCCUCCCUCCUCUCCCCAUUUACUGUCUCCCUCUGGGCCCUCUGCCAGGACCCGACCCUACCCUUCCCUGGAAAGACUGAGAGGUAACAGCUCCCUCCCCCAGUACCAGACAAAGGCAGGUGUGGCUCUGUUGAGGGGCAAAGCUGAGGCUUUGAAAUCUAGGGUCCGUGACUGGGGCAAAGCAGGGGAGUCUUGGGAAGGCCUGGGUGUACCUGCUAAAGGGGAAGACUGACCAGGGGUGGUCACCUGUGCUCCAUCCGGGCUCCGCUGUGUGCUCUGUGACCAGGCGCCAGUGAGGACUUGGGGGAGAUGCAUUGUCCUGGGCACAAGUAUGGGAGGAGACCAUAAGCCCCUGGGGUUCCUGUCUAGGUCUGAGGUCAGGGAGCCGUGGGGAAAAGUGACUUUCCUACAUCCAAUGUGUUUCUUUUUCUUCUCCUCCAGCAAAUGCCAAAACCUGUCCAGCCCUUCAAAACGAAGCGAGAGCCUUCGUGUUGGACAUUAAACCGCUCUUUUAUCGUGUCCUCAAGACGUUUCCGGCACCUAUACCCGCCUACGAGUCCACGAUGGCUGUGAAGGAUUGCGUAAAUCGGAUGGCCUUUAACGACAGACACAAAAUUUACGAACUCAUGGAGGCUAUCGGGAAAACGUGCAACAAAUAGAUUCAACAAACCUCACCUAUGAGGGCUCCUGCUUUCAAUGAUGCCUGACCUUCCCUGGAAAAUGUAGAGGUUUCAACGUCUUGCUUCAAUAAAUCACUUGCCCUGCA